AAUUGUAGCUGUGCAAACCAGUGUAGAGAGUGUGUGUGUUUGUGUAUAUAAUGUGAAUUAAUAGGAAUUUAGUAUGCACAUGGUUUUCAUCAACAGUAUCUAGUUCUCACUGUACUUGCAAACUGACUUUGUCGCUGUUAGGGAAGUCUAGACAAUGAAUCAUAUAUUGUAAUCUUGUCUACGAAAACAAUCAUAAACAUACCAUUUAUUUUUCUCUUAAAUUCAGGGCAAGCAUUCAAAAAAGAGUCACUGUUAUCCACCCAUGAACAGAGAUCACCGCAGAAUCAUCCAUGAGUUAGCUCAAAUUUAUGGCAUUGAGAGUGUGAGCUAUGACAAUGAACCAAAGCGUAAUGUUGUUAUCACUGCAGUGAAAGGUAAAUCCAUUUGUCCAAGUAAUACCCUAACAUCUGUGCUAGAGAGGGAAAUGCAGACAAGGCCUCCACCACCUAUUCCUCACUACAGACAAACAGAUAAGAAUAAUGGAAACAGUGGCUUGCAGAAAACAUUAAAAGUGGAGCCAGUGAUUGACUACUUUGAUGUCCAAGACUGAAAUGAUCAAUCUUAAAUUAUUAUUUAGAAAAAUGGAGGUGAAGAUACAUAUCUAUCAUGCAAGAUGCUUUGUGGCUAAUUAAAUGAUUAACUAUUCAAUAUAUUCAAAGUUUAAAAUAGUAAAAAAGCACUGGUGAGUUAAGUGUAUGAGAAACAUAGCAUUGUCUAGAAAUUAACUAAAAUUUGAGCUCUGAAUAUUGCAAGAUAAGCUAUUAAAGGCCAAAUUCUGACUUCAGAUUGAUGUGCACAGCUCUCAUUGAAUGCACUGAGAACUGCAUGCGUUCCUCAAAAGCCAGAAUAUGGCUUAUCAUUUAUUAUAUCAAUGAAACUGAUCUUUUAAAUUUGACUGCAAAUUUUCAGCUGCUCUGCAUAUUUUUACAUAAGUUGCAAGUGCAGGUAUUUUUCACCUCAGGCUGGUACAUUUUUCUUCUCUGUUUGUUUGGAAUCAGAGUCCAUCUUUACUGAAGUGAAACUGCCUAUCCAUUAAUUUAUAGCUGAAAAAACUGGUAAUUAAAUUCUAUUGGGGUAGUUAUAUUAGUGGCAAACAUUCCAAAGAUUUAUACUGAGGGAUCCAACUGUACUGUUAAAAAUGAACAAAUCACAAAUCGCUAUAAUAUAAUCCUAAUGGAUAUAUUUUCAAGGAGUUUUCAUGUGAUUUUAAUCAUUCCAUUUCUACUGCAAACAUAUCUGAGUUAUUCCCACAUGGAAUAAAACAAAAAAUUUAGCUCAACUCUACAAUAUGUUACAUAUUCCCAGUGCUUAGGCACACUGACACCCGCUAAUGAGGAGUACAUCUCAUGUUCACUAGCAUUUGAGGAUUUUGGUACUUUCCUUGUUCUUGAGGUGGAAGAGGGAAAAUGCCAUUUGUUUGUUUGUGGGUUUUUAUUAAGCAAAAGAAUAAUGGCUUAGUUUUCUUUGUGUUUUAUUUAGUUUGUAUAUUGAAACCUUUAAUUUAAAUUAAAGGAUUAAAUUGAAAAUGAAAAAUAUUUAAUUCAAACGCUUGAACAGUUAGAACUCCACGUAUGGCUUUGAUGUUCCAUAGAGAUUGAAUCAUAUGUCUAGGAUUGUUAAACUGAUGACUUCACUAGUUUAAACUUUUCCUCUGUACAAGCUUAGAGCAGAAGGUAUGUGCUAGGCUUGUGUUGGAAUAUGGGUUGAGAUUGCAGCAAUUCUUGAAAACUUCAUAAGAAAGUCUGGUAUGUUAAAUCCCUCUCAAUGAAAACAGCCCUUUAAUGAUCACAUUACAUUUUAAAUAUAUUAUACUUUACACAAUUCAGUAGCCAACACAAUCUCCUAGAUUUCAAAUUGUUUCACAUUAAUGGGUGCCCUCAUGAGGAAGGAGAGACCAGAUCUUUAGCUGGUGUAAAUUGUCAUAGCUCCAUUGACUUCACUUGAGCUACAACAAUUUACCCAAGUUGAGGAUCUGGCCCCUUAUGCUAAUAAGCUCCUUACUCCUCACACUAUGCUCUGUCUGUCUCACCCCUCCUGACUGCACACAGCCCUAGAAGUUAUUCCUUUGUGCAGCUCUUUGUGCUCAGGGGCAGCUUCUGUCUGCAUGUCCCAGAGAGCUUAUGGAACUUUUGAGGGCCAUUAGCCACAGAGGUUCAUUUUGGGGUGGAUAUGUAUCAUAACAUGUUGACUUAAGAUAACUGUAAUAUUCUACAUUGUCAAGAUGUUAUGGGUUUUAUGGCUUUCUGUGGAUGCAUGUGUAUAAAACUUACUUUGUUUAGGAAAUGACAAUGCAAUGUAAUAUGUUUCUAUUUAAAUGUUUGAGAUACAUUUUCUCCACUUAAAAGAACACGGUCGAGGAAUGUUGAUCUUUUUUGUGUGUGUAUGUCUUCAUACAAUGAAAAUAAUUUUCUUUACCUUUUUCCUUUCAUUUGGUGAACAGAAAUGAACUUUUUUUUACGAAUGAAUCUCAAAUAAACUAGCUGUUAUGGUUUGGCAUGACAGUGCACAAAAUUCUUAAGCAAGUUGAGCCCUUGCAAGGUGCUUAACGUUUUCAAUUUCUGUUGACAUCAGUGGGUGAAUAGGUUGCUAAGCACCUUUCUAGAACUGUGAUCUUGCAGACAUUUACACAAUUAAGUAGGCCUAAUGGGAGAGAGAGUCUCAUUUAUUUCAGUGUCACUGCAUGACUGAAUGAGGGUUUGCAGGAUGGGCCCAUAGUUUGUGACCCUACAUUUAAUUUAUUUUAACACAGGACUUCAUUUAAAAUAGCUAAAAACAUCACCUACAUACUUGUGUGCAAUUUGUAUGAGGCUUUCAUAGCAGUAUGUCUAGUUCAUGCACUUUAAUUGGUAUUUUUAACAAAUUGUGAUCUUGCAACUUAAAUGUGAGGCUGAUGAGAAGCAGUCUAGAAGAUGUUCAGGUUCUGAAUAGAACUUUUAAUACUUCCAGCUUUUGAUCAGAAGAACCAGAGAAUUUUCAGUUUGCAAAAUAAGGCUAAUAAAUAUUUUGAAUUCAUAUCUACUGAUUAAUCAUAAUGACCCUUAUGAAAUGUCUAAUAAAAGUUUUGCUCAGUUGUGAAUAUUCACAUAUCUCUACGCCUAUUUUAAUACCAAGGAGGUCAAAGCCUAUACAACAGCUUUUAAAAAAUCAUUGACACUGAAAUGUUUACUCAAAAUUUCUUAUUGUAAUAGUUCCGUUAAAAAGAUAAUUCAUGCACUUCCCUGGGGAAGCAAUACCAAAACACGUUUUUUCCAAAGUAUAAUUUUCCAGCUUUAAAAAUGAAUUCAGCAAGAUUUAAUUGUGGUGUUCUCCCUUCUCUUCUGGUUUGCUUUGGAUCAUUUUACUGCAUAUGUGUGCCUAAUGGGAAUGCUUUUCUAAUAUACCAUUUUGUAUUUCUUCUUAUUCUGAGUUGGCUCUUAGUCUAUUUAUCUAAGAGAAAAAAGAGUGAAGUCAGUGGCAUUGACUUCAGUGGAGCCAGUAUUCCAUCCUUGGUCUGUCAAUUACAUUGCACAGGUCUCAGAACGAUACUGUAUUUUGUAAAUUGUUCUGUAUUGAGUACAUUACAAUAAAGAGAUUGUCUUUGAAGUGAACUGUGAGGAAGAGCAAAUUGGGUACAAUACAUAUAACUUUACCAAGUGCUUUUAAACUAUUGUAUAUAAAAUACAGGUAGAAUUUUGGCAUUGGGACUAUGUAACUGUUCAAUGGUUUAAUGCGUUAAGAAGUGCUCUGAUUAUUCAGUGCUUGAUGUGCAUAAUCUAAAAUCCUAGCUGUGCAAGUUAGCUAUGGAGACCACUGUUUUGUGGCAGUUUUACAGUAUGUGCCUCAUGAUGAAGUAAGCAAACGAACAUUGCUCUAAAACACUCUUUCCAUAAGUUAUUUGGUGACAGAUAUAUAUAUCUAUAUAGAUAUAUAGAUAUAUAUUCCACUUGAUUCCUUUCAAGUUUAGUGGUGUAACAGGUGACUUACUGUA